GUACGGGAGGGGCGGGGCGGCCGCGGCCCAUUGUGGGCCGGGGCCGGGCGGGCUCCGCGCCGCGCAGCCCAGCGCCGCGCCGGCAGGUACGGCGGUCCGCGCCCGGGGGGAUUUCCAAAGGGCGUAUUUAUCUUCCAGAGUGCUGCCUAAGUGUCGCUUAAUCAUUAAGCAUUUGAUUUCCUCCAAGUUAUCUGUCAUGCUGCUUAUGAUAAGAUGCAUCAAACAUGCAGAAGAUCACACUGCGCAGAAUCAUCCGAGAAGGGUCAAGUAGUGGACAAGUGAGGAAGACUACGGAAGACCACCAGAGGACUCCUGAAGACCACCAGAGACCUUCAAUGCGCCUGCGUGCCAGAGCGCAUCACGGGCACGCCCGCCGGCCAGCCCCGGCCUUCGGCCUCACCCCGGCUCAGCGACUCGCAGCUGCCCUGGUGUACUGGUGAAGGCUGGGCUAGAGUUCGUUUUCUUCACGGGAGCUUGCGUGCUGCUUUAUGUUGGAUUUCUUGCCAUCUGCCUGCCAACGGCAAUCUCACAAUCACGGAACGUCCUGAGUUGGAAGGGACCCCCGAGGAUCAUCGAGU